rnacentral:rRNA from 1 species
GCUUGUCUCAAAGAUUAAGCCAUGCAUGUUCAAGUAUAGCAAGUGUACAGUGAAACUGCGAAUGGCUCAUUAAAUCAGUUAUAAUUUAUUUGAUAGUGAAAUUGUACAUGGAUAACCGUGGCAAUUCUAGGGCUAAUACAUGCGUCAAUGGUCGGUCGACCAGUAUUUAUUAGAUACAAAGCCAGCCGUCAGGAUCAGGUGAAUCAUGAUAACCAAACGAAUCGCAAGCGCAAGCGGCGAUGGUUCAUUCAAAUUUCUGCCCUAUCAUGGUUGAGAUUGUAAGAUAGAGGCUUACAAUGCCUACAACGGGUAACGGGGAAUUAGGGUUCGAUUCCGGAGAGGGAGCCUGAGAAACGGCUACCACAUCCAAGGAAGGCAGCAGG